UGGGGAAUAUUGGACAAUGGGCGAAAGCCUGAUCCAGCCAUGCCGCGUGAGUGACGAAGGCCUUAGGGUUGUAAAACUCUUUCGUCGGGGACGAUAAUGACGGUACCCGAAGAAGAAGCUCCGGCUAACUUCGUGCCAGCAGCCGCGGUAAUACGAAGGGAGCUAGCGUUGUUCUGAAUCACUGGGCGUAAAGCGCACGUAGGCGGAUAGUUAAGUCAGGGGUGAAAUCCUGGGGCUCAACCCCAGAACUGCCUUUGAUACUGGCUGUCUCGAGGUCGAGAGAGGUUGGUGGAAUUCCUAGUGUAGAGGUGAAAUUCGUAGAUAUUAGGAAGAACACCAGUGGCGAAGGCGGCCAACUGGCUCGAUACUGACGCUGAGGUGCGAAAGCGUGGGGAGCAAACAGGAUUAGAUACCCUCGUAGUCCCUGAGCGGGCUGGCAAGGCGCAU
rnacentral:rRNA from 1 species